ACGGGUGCGUAACGCGUGGGAAUCUGCCUUGGGGUUCGGAAUAACUCCCCGAAAGGGGUGCUAAUACCGGAUGAUGUCGAAAGACCAAAGAUUUAUUGCCCUGAGAUGAGCCCGCGUAAGAUUAGCUAGUUGGUGGGGUAAAGGCCUACCAAGGCGACGAUCUUUAGCUGGUCUGAGAGGAUGAUCAGCCACACUGGGACUGAGACACGGCCCAGACUCCUACGGGAGGCAGCAGUGGGGAAUAUUGGACAAUGGGCGAAAGCCUGAUCCAGCAAUGCCGCGUGAGUGAUGAAGGCCUUAGGGUUGUAAAGCUCUUUUACCCGGGAUGAUAAUGACAGUACCGGGAGAAUAAGCCCCGGCUAACUCCGUGCCAGCAGCCGCGGUAAUACGGAGGGGGCUAGCGUUAUUCGGAAUUACUGGGCGUAAAGCGCACGUAGGCGGCUUUGUAAGUAAGAGGUGAAAGCCCGGAGCUCAACUCCGGAACUGCCUUUUAGACUGCAUCGCUUGAAUCCAGGAGAGGUGAGUGGAAUUCCGAGUGUAGAGGUGAAAUUCGUAGA
rnacentral:rRNA from 5 species